rnacentral:rRNA from 1 species
CCUACGGGUGGCAGCAGUAGGGAAUAUUGCGCAAUGGGGGAAACCCUGACGCAGCAACGCCGCGUGGAGGAUGAAGGUUUUCGGGUUGUAAACUCCUUUUGUUAGAGACGAUGAUAGCGAUGUCUCACGAAUAAGCACCGGCUAACUCCGUGCCAGCAGCCGCGGUAAUACGGAGGGUGCAAGCGUUACUCGGAGUCACUGGGUGUAAAGAGCGCGUAGGCGGGAGAGCAAGUCAGAUGUGAAAUCCUAUGGCUUAACCAUAGAACUGCAUUUGAAACUGUUAUUCUUGAGUACGGGAGAGGUAGGUGGAAUUCUGGGUGUAGGGGUAAAAUGCGUAGAGAUCCAGAGGAAUACUAGUGGCGAAGGCGAACUGCUAGACAAUAACUGACGCUGAGGCGCGAAAGCGUGGGGAGCAAACAGGAUUAGAUACCCGUGUAGUC